CCUCGUGUUGCAACCC
rnacentral:rRNA from 2 species